ACGGGAGGCAGCAGUAGGGAAUCUUCCGCAAUGGACGCAAGUCUGACGGAGCAACGCCGCGUGAGUGAAGAAGGUCUUCGGAUCGUAAAGCUCUGUUGUUAGAGAAGAACAGCGCAUAGAGUAACUGUUAUGCGUGUGACGGUAUCUAACCAGAAAGCCACGGCUAACUACGUGCCAGCAGCCGCGGUAAUACGUAGGUGGCGAGCGUUGUCCGGAUUUAUUGGGCGUAAAGGGAGUGUAGGCGGUCUUUUAAGUCUGAUGUGAAAGCCCACGGCUCAACCGUGGAGGGUCAUUGGAAACUGGGAGACUUGAGUGCAGAAGAGGAGAGCGGAAUUCCAUGUGUAGCGGUGAAAUGCGUAGAUAUAUGGAGGAACACCAGUGGCGAAGGCGGCUCUCUGGUCUGUAACUGACGCUGAGGCUCGAAAGCGUGGGGAGCAAACAGGAUUAGAUACCCUGGUAGUCCACGCCGUAAACGAUGAGUGCUAAGUGUUGGAGGGGUUCCACCCUUCAGUGCUGGAGUUAACGCAAUAAGCACUCCGCCUGGGGAGUACGGCCGCAAGGCUGAAACUCAAAGGAAUUGACGGGGGCCCGCACAAG
rnacentral:rRNA from 1 species